UACGGGGGGGGGCAAGCGUUUGUUCGGAAUUACUGGGCGUAAAGGGCUCGUAGGCGGCCAACUAAGUCCGACGUGAAAUCCCCAGGCUCAACCUGGGAACUGCGUCGGAUACUGGCAGGCUUGAAUCCGGGAGAGGGAUGCGGAAUUCCAGGUGUAGCGGUGAAAUGCGUAGAUAUCUGGAGGAACACCGGUGGCGAAGGCGGCGAUCCUGGACCGGUAUUGACGCCUGAGGCGCGAAAGCUAGGGGAGCAAACGGG
rnacentral:rRNA from 1 species